CUGAGGGCAGCGCCUGAGGCCGCGACCCCGGGAGGUGUCCCGGGGGUGUCCCCGGGGUGUCCCGGUGGGGCCCCCGACCAAACCCAGCCCCACAGAUGAGGGAAUCCGCCCCCAGCGUUAAGGGGUGGGCAGGGGACUCUUUCCCCUCCGGCUACCUGGAGCUCGGCCCUGGAGAUGAAGCGGUUUUCUGGUGGUAAUGAUAAGAAAAAUUUGACAGAAAUUCUGACAGAAAAAAGUGAGGCUGGGGCUUGAUGAACACUUCCCUUCGCCCAGCGCGGCCCCCGUGGUGGAAAUGGCUCGGGUACCGUCGCUGAAUUAGGAGAUGGACCAAACUCCGCACGCAGGGUGGAUCAUAAGCAGAACCAAAAGGCCACACCAGAAACUUCUGCUACCUUGACUGAUUUUUCUUCUGCUUUCCAAAGCUAAGACCUGCAUUGUGAUCUACAAAGAGAAGGAGCAGGGCCCAGCAGCAACUUGGACUUCCCAGAGUCACCCCCUCAGUGCCUGAGCAAGAAGCUUCAUUCCUCUCAAGGCUUUUCAGUCCUUGGCCUCUUGCUGGAGAACCACAUCUAUGAUUCAGAUGAAACACCCCUCUGAAAGGCUGGUGCCAUUUACACAUUUUCAGUGAAGAAUCCUGGAUCCAGAAACCCUUCUGGUGCUGCUGGCUGGGAGAACCUGGUCUUGGGGACAACUACCAGUCAAUUCUUGGGGACAGUGCAGGCAACUGAAGAUUUGAUGAGAUGAGAAUCACCCACGAAUUUGUGAGAGCAGCAGAAAGAAGACUGGAAUGCAGGCAAAGGGAGUGUUUGUGGUCUUUACCUCCGUGUGGGAUCCACAGCGAUGGCUCUCGGCUCACUGAGGUCACUGUUGAAAAGUGUCCUCCUCCUGCUGCCAUCUGCAGUGGCCACUGAGAUGGUCUUGUUCCCAGAAUCUGUCCAGUAGAUAUUCUUAUGAACCCAGUCUAUUGCCAGUCCCUCAGGAGAGUUCAGCUGGCUGUCUAUCAGAAUCACCUGCUCAGCCGUGUCACUCGCUUUGUCUAUGUAGGCACUGCAAAGAGAGGACUUGUCACAGGUGACACAGCACAGACAGGGACACACACACACCUGACACACCUGCCUGGGGCUGGACCUCAGGUAGCACCACUGCAUCCCCAUGGAAAGAAAGUGCACAUGUAGCAGCAUGACUGACACAACACAAAGCCCCUCACAGCUGGAUGCUGCAACCUUCCGCUUUCUCCUACAACUUGUUCUUCUUCUCCUAUACAUUACAGGAAGUGUUUCCCAAAUUUCCCAAACUGGGAACUGUCAUUUUUUUUUUCUACCCGCUUCCUUCUAUAACUGCACAACUCAGCAAAACAUUUGACUUCAGGCAUGUUAAUAACUUCAAUAGCAGACUUAUGGGAUUUAUGGACAUUAGAAAUACAAUCUCCAGUGCUCUGCUGAACGGAGUUGAACUUAGCAUGCAAAUAAAUGUGCUUAAAUGUCUUGCAAAAUUAGGACCUGUGUAACUAAUUAUGAUUCAUCAAAGGAGUUUGUGGAGCUGUACUAAUUUGGCGAGUGAUCUCAUUAGAUACAAAGACAUUGGCAGCCUCAAAAUGCUAAUGAAAAGCAGCAAAGUUCACAUGAAUGUUUCCUAAAUUAACUCAGUGUUACUCCUGCAGUCACACAGGGUGAGUCUGCUCUGUUGCCCCUGCACCAAUACCACUUGCACUAAAUAAACUGAAGUGGAUUUGUUCUAAGUUUGCAUCAGCGUGUCCAAGAUCUUAGUCUGGGGCUUC